AUUGAACGCUGGCGGCAGGCCUAACACAUGCAAGUCGAACGAGUGGCGGACGGGUGAGUAAUGUCUGGGAAACUGCCUGAUGGAGGGGGAUAACUACUGGAAACGGUCGCUAAUAACGCAUACCCUCCGAUGUGCCCAGAUUGGAUUAGCUAGUAGGUGGGGUAAAGGCUCACCUAGGCCACGAUCCCUAGCUGGUCUGAGAGGAUGACCAGCCACACUGGAACUGAGAAACGGGCCAGACUCCUACGGGAGGCAGCAGUGGGAAAUAUUGCACAAUGGGCGCAAGCCUGAUGCAGACAGGCCGCGUGUAUGAAGAAGGCCUUCGGGUUGUAAAGUACUUUCAGCGGGGAGGCGUUACCCGCAGAAGAAGCACCGGCUAACUCCGUGCCAGCAGCCGCGGUAAUUC
rnacentral:rRNA from 1 species